CGGUUGAUCCUGCCGGACCCUACCGCUAUCGGGAUAGGACUAAGACAUGCUAGUCGUGCGUCUCCCAAGCUAUGUUGGAGACGCGGCAGACGGCUCAGUAGCAUGUGGCUAACCUGCCCUCAGGACAGGGACAACCCCGGGAAACUGGGGCUAAUCCCUGAUAGGUGUGGAUUCCUGGAAUGGAUCCACACCCAAAAGACGUCCAAAUCAUGCUUUGGACGUCGCCUGAGGAUGGGGCCGCAUCCGAUCAGGUUGUUGGUGAGGUAACGGCUCACCAAGCCUAUAACCGGUACGGGCCGCGAGAGCGGUAGCCCGGAGAUGGACACUGAGACAAGGGUCCAGGCCCUACGGGGCGCAGCAGUCGCGAAAACUCCACAAUGCGCGAAAGCGCGAUGGGGCUAUCCCGAGUGCCGUCCGCUGAGGACGGCUUUUCUCCAGUGUAAGGAGCUGAAGGAAUAAGGAGAGGGCAAGUCUGGUGUCAGCCGCCGCGGUAAUACCAGCUCUCCGAGUGGUAGGGACGUUUAUUGGGCCUAAAGCGUCCGUAGCCGGCUCAGCAAGUCCCCUGUUAAAUCCAACGAUUCAAUCGUUGGACUGCAGGGGAUACUGCUGGGCUAGGGGUCGGGAGAGGCCGACGGUACUCCCGGAGUAGGGGUGAAAUCCUAUAAUUCCGGGAGGACCACCAGUGGCGAAGGCUGUCGGCUAGAACGAGCUCAACGGUGAGGGACGAAAGCUGGGGGGAGCGAACCGGAUUAGAUACCCGGGUAGUCCCAGCUGUAAACGAUGCGGGCUAGGUGUUGGAGUGGCUACGAGCCACUCCAGUGCCGCAGCGAAGGCAUUAAGCCCGCCGCCUGGGAAGUACGGGCCCAAGCCUAAAACUUAAAGGAAUUGGCGGGGGAGCAC
rnacentral:rRNA from 1 species